rnacentral:misc_RNA from 1 species
CUCAGUUCAGAUCGUAGGCUGCAACUCGCCUACGUGAAGGAGGAAUCGCUAGUAAUCGCAGGUCAGCAUACUGCGGUGAAUACGUUCCCGGGCCUUGUACACACCGCCCGUCACACCAUGGAAGUUGGCCACGCCCGAAGCCGUUACUCCAACCCUUGUGGAGGAGGACGUCGAAGGUGGGGCUGAUGACUGGGGUGAAGUCGUAACAAGGUAGCCGUACCGGAAGGUGCGGCUGGAUCACCUCCUAACAGGGAGACAACACAAUGAUUUUGAUGCCUGAGUACUUUUAUUCUUAGGCCGAAAUCCUGUCACCUUAGGUCGAUCGGUACCUCAGCAUUAAGAGCAGUAAUUGAUGAGCAAUUAUCAAGAGACUGAAGGAGAUGUUCAGUUCCUAAACUUUGUCUAGGUCACACCCCACAAGGGUUGAGUCUUCCUGGGCCAUUAGCUCAGGUGGUUAGAGCGCACCCCUGAUAAGGGUGAGGUCCCUGGUUCAAGUCCAGGAUGGCCCAUUCGGUGUUGGGGGUUUAGCUCAGUUGGUAGAGCGCCUGCUUUGCAAGCAGGAUGUCAGGAGUUCGAGUCUCCUAACCUCCACUGACCGAACUUAAUCUCCAUCUUCUGAAUUAUGGAAGGUGAACUCGAAGGUGUGUGUGAUUUAGAUGUGUCCGCUGGCAUGAACUCAGCUUCCUGUCAUUCCAAGUGAAGAGUUUUACUCUGAAUUUGGUUGAUAAGAUGCUGGGCUCG